UAGGUCUUCUAUUUACAGAUUAGCAAUCUAUGUGCUUUGACAUCUUUUUUAGGUUCAUGUUCUUUUUUGUGUUUGUCAUCAGUUUUCCAAGUAGUUGCUUUAUAUAUAGAGUUGAUGUCCGGAGCUGCUUUCUUCAUUUGGUUCCAGGAGUAAUGUGACACCAUCUUUCCUAGUUGAUCAAUAUUGAUGUUGCUUUCCUUUGUUCUGUGUUUGUCUAUUAUUUUUUAGGUUUUGAUCUUGGGCCGUGUGGUGUGUGGCGGUAUUGUCUGGGUUGUUAUGUUGUUAGAAUUGGACUUUGAUGAGAUCAAUGCUAGUAUUUGCACUGGGUACAAGUUCUUGGAAUUUUCCUUUCCAUGGAGAAAAUCAGUUUUGCAUGUUUCUUUAUUGCUUUCAUUCCUAGUUGUCCGAGUGUGUAUGUCCUUGAUUUUGUUAGGAGGAAAUUAUUUCCUUUGAUCUGAGCUUUUAGGUAAUUCUAUGGUCUUUUAUGUUUGUCCUUGGAUUUUUGGUAGAGCUGCAUUUUUGGAGGAGGGCAAGUAUCAAUUGUGAGGAGGUAGUCAUUAGUUUAUUUCUCCUCUCUGAUUUGUGAGUUUCUUGCUUAUUUAAGUAGCCAAGGUCUUCUAUGUUUUCCCUAAGAACCCUUGUAACGGUAUUCUUGUUGUAGAAGAAGUCAGGUCAACCCAAGUAUAUGCUGUUCUUAAAAACUAAGACUAGAGUUCCUCUCCAAAAUUAAUACCCUCAUAUGGAGUCCUUUUCUAAAGCCUAACUCAGCAUCUAGUGCUGCAUUCAAUGAUGACAUCAGCAGACAACCCAAAGUCCUACAUAACAAAUGCCAGCUAAUUUGCUGUAAUGUACGGUGAAGCUAUUGCUGAAGGUCUAUUGGAAACAACCUCUCUACCUUCACAAGGUAGGGGCAAGGCUGCGUACACCACCCUCCCCGGACCCCACUUGUGGGA